ACAUCUCAACUCCUCACGGUUUGCCCGUGAUGAGCUUGGACUUUGGGGGUCUUGCCGGCCUGCAGGUCGGCUCCUCUCAAACGAAUCAGCUUGCCGGUGUUUGGUGGGCGUCACGGGUGUGAUAACUAUCUACGCUUGUGGUCUUCCACCAGAUAACCUCCAGCCAUGGGGGUUCACUGGAGCUCACAAAUGUCUCUCCUCGGCGAGGGACGGCUCUUUGAAC
rnacentral:misc_RNA from 1 species